rnacentral:rRNA from 1 species
GACGAACGCUGGCGGCGUGCUUAACACAUGCCAGUCGAACGGAAAGGCCCUGCUCUUGUUGCGUGCUCGAUUGGCGAACGGGUGAGUAACACGCGAGUAACCUGCCCUUGACUUUGUGGUAAAUUCAGGAAACUGCGGCUAAUACCGGGUAUGAGCUACUGAUGCAUGUGGGUGGUUGGAAAGUUUCGGCCGUGGGGGCUGGACUCGCAGCUUAUCAGCUUGUUGGUCGGGUAGUGGCUUACCAAGGUUUUGACGGGUAGCCGGCCUGGGAGGGUGAACGGCGUCAAGACGACUACGAGACGGAGCAGUAUCCUACCGGCCGCAGUGGUGGAGAGCCUUACAGAACGGGCGGGAGCGAGUUGCGGAAGUGCCGCGUGCGGGAUAACGGCUUAUGAGUUGAAAACCGCUUUCGCAUGUAACGAAGCGGGAGUGACGGUAAUGGGUAAAGAAGCACCGGCUAACUACGUG